UGAGGAAUAUUGGGCAAUGCCCGAAAGGGUGACCCAGCAACGCCGCGUGGAGGAUGAAGGUCGUAAGAUUGUAAACUCCUGUUAGAGGGGAAGAAUAGUACCGGUUGGACCGGUAUAUGACUGUACCCUCAGAGAAAGCCCCGGCUAACUACGUGCCAGCAGCCGCGGUAAUACGUAGGUGGCAAGCGUUGUCCGGAUUUACUGGGCGUAAAGGGCGCGCAGGCGGGAUAAAAAGUCAGUGGUGAAAUCCUACAGCUUAACUGUAGAACUGCCUUUGAUACUUUUAUUCUUGAGUUCGGGAGAGAGAGACGGAAUUCCAGGUGUAGUGGUGAAAUACGUAGAUAUCUGGAAGAACACCAGUUGCGAAGGCGGUCUCUUGGUCCGACACUGACGCUGAGGCGCGAAAGCGUGGGGAGCAAACA
rnacentral:rRNA from 1 species